AGUGAACGCUGGCGGUAGGCCUAACACAUGCAAGUCGAACGGCAGCACAGUAAGAGCUUGCUCUUACGGGUGGCGAGUGGCGGACGGGUGAGGAAUACAUCGGAAUCUACUUUUUCGUGGGGGAUAACGUAGGGAAACUUACGCUAAUACCGCAUACGACCUACGGGUGAAAGCAGGGGAUCUUCGGACCUUGCGCGAUUGAAUGAGCCGAUGUCGGAUUAGCUAGUUGGCGGGGUAAAGGCCCACCAAGGCGACGAUCCGUAACUGGUCUGAGAGGAUGAUCAGCCACCCUGGAACUGAGACACGGUCCAGCCUCCUACGGGAGCCAGCGGUGGGAAUUUUUGACCAAUGGGCGCAGCCCUGUUCAAGCCAGACCGCUUGGUUGAGGAGGGCUUUCGGUUGGUAAACCCCUUUUGUUGGGAAAAAAAGCAGCAGGUUAAUACCCCGCUGUUCUGACGGUACCCAAAGAAUAAGCACCGGCUAACUUCGUG
rnacentral:rRNA from 1 species